rnacentral:rRNA from 1 species
GAUGAACGCUAGCGACAGGCUUAACACAUGCAAGUCGAGGGGCAGCGGGGGUAGCAAUACCCGCCGGCGACCGGCGCACGGGUGAGUAACGCGUAUGCAACUUACCUAUCAGAGGGGGAUAACCCGGCGAAAGUCGGACUAAUACCGCAUGAAGCAGGGGCCCCGCAUGGGGAUAUUUGCUGAAGAUUCAUCGCUGAUAGAUAGGCAUGCGUUCCAUUAGGCAGUUGGCGGGGUAACGGCCCACCAAACCGACGAUGGAUAGGGGUUCUGAGAGGAAGGUCCCCCACAUUGGUACUGAGACACGGACCAAACUCCUACGGGAGGCAGCAGUGAGGAAUAUUGGUCAAUGGGCGUAAGCCUGAACCAGCCAAGUCGCGUGAGGGAUGAAGGUUCUAUGGAUCGUAAACCUCUUUUAUAAGGGAAUAAAGUGCGGGACGUGUCCCGUUUUGUAUGUACCUUAUGAAUAAGGAUCGGCUAACUCCGUGCCAGCAGCCGCGGUAAUACGGAGGAUCCGAGCGUUAUCCGGAUUUAUUGGGUUUAAAGGGUGCGUAGGCGGCCUUUUAAGUCAGCGGUGAAAGUCUGUGGCUCAACCAUAGAAUUGCCGUUGAAACUGGGGGGCUUGAGUAUGUUUGAGGCAGGCGGAAUGCGUGGUGUAGCGGUGAAAUGCUUAGAUAUCACGCAGAACCCCGAUUGCGAAGGCAGCCUGCCAAGCCAUGACUGACGCUGAUGCACGAAAGCGUGGGGAUCAAACAGGAUUAGAUACCCUGGUAGUCCACGCAGUAAACGAUGAUCACUAGCUGUUUGCGAUACAGUGUAAGCGGCACAGCGAAAGCGUUAAGUGAUCCACCUGGGGAGUACGCCGGCAACGGUGAAACUCAAAGGAAUUGACGGGGGCCCGCACAAGCGGAGGAACAUGUGGUUUAAUUCGAUGAUACGCGAGGAACCUUACCCGGGUUUGAACGCAUUCGGACCGAGGUGGAAACACCUUUUCUAGCAAUAGCCGUUUGCGAGGUGCUGCAUGGUUGUCGUCAGCUCGUGCCGUGAGGUGUCGGCUUAAGUGCCAUAACGAGCGCAACCCUUGCCACUAGUUACUAACAGGUAAAGCUGAGGACUCUGGUGGGACUGCCAGCGUAAGCUGCGAGGAAGGCGGGGAUGACGUCAAAUCAGCACGGCCCUUACAUCCGGGGCGACACACGUGUUACAAUGGCGUGGACAAAGGGAUGCCACCUGGCGACAGGGAGCGAAUCCCCAAACCACGUCUCAGUUCGGAUCGGAGUCUGCAACCCGACUCCGUGAAGCUGGAUUCGCUAGUAAUCGCGCAUCAGCCAUGGCGCGGUGAAUACGUUCCCGGGCCUUGCAC